UACGUAGGGGGCAAGCGUUGUCCGGAAUUACUGGGCGUAAAGCGUACGUAGGCGGCUUUGUAAGUUAGAGGUGAAAGCCCGGGGCUCAACUCCGGAAUUGCCUUUAAGACUGCAUCGCUUGAAUCAUGGAGAGGUGAGUGGAAUUCCGAGUGUAGAGGUGAAAUUCGUAGAUAUUCGGAAGAACACCAGUGGCGAAGGCGACUCACUGGACAUGUAUUGACGCUGAGGUACGAAAGCGUGGGGAGCAAACAGG
rnacentral:rRNA from 1 species